CUACUUUUAAUGCGGUUUACCUGACUCAGCUGAAGAUUUUCCAAUGUUGAAAGCAAUUGCAAUAAGGUACAAGAGUUUUCCACAUAUGAGAAUCUGUACCUGUUCCGAGAAAAAUUCGUAGAAAUUACCAUCGUCGAGAAGAGCUCCAAAAAGUCCUUGCUAUAGGGUCUACCAUUAGAGGUAAUUUUCAUUAAUCGAGAACAUUGUUGACGUUUAUCGCCGGAAUCUAUUGAAUUUCCGUUGCGAUAAGACGUAACAGCUUCAUAACUGGGCGGUGGUGAAGAAGGGUUAUGAAGGGCGGGCAUCCAAAGCUGAUUCUUACUUUUACGAAUUUGUAGCCUUUUAUCAUAAAUAAUAAAGUGAUGAACAAAAGAAUUGUGAUCUUGCUAAGCGAAAAAGCGACAGAGAUCGGGCAGCCAAGCACAAUGGAGUGUUAAAUAUUGUUUCUUUUAUUUUUUUAAAAGAUAAAAGAGAAGUACAGAACUCAAAUAAGAUAAAAGAAAUUUAAAUAUAUAGUAAUAGUCCCACUUUCUUGAUUACCGUCAAUUUUUAUAAUCAAUUACGGGUAAUUCGAUACUAAAUCAGGUCUCCAGCUGUUUUCAAUAGGUCUGAUCCCUAUUAAAUUUAAAAUCGAAUGAAGGAUUGGAGCAAUUUUGUAAACGUCGAUAUAGGCACACUGAUGAAAAUUCGGGAAAUGCCUUAGUAUUUAUACUUCGAAGUUUCCCAUCUAACCAUUGCUAUACGCUUUCUUUUAAACAAAGAAAUCAUUAAAUGGCGAACAAUGGGAACUUUAACGGAACAAAGAACAUUGUGCAAUUGAUUUGUUUACCCCAACAAAUUAACAGUGAGAAAGCAGAACAAAGAAAACAGGUAGCAAUUUCCACCUUUCGUCAACUUAUUCCGAAAGGGGUUUUAAUGAAUCGGUAAAUUUCAUGUGAUAACACCGAUUGAAUAAUAAUAAAAAAAGAAUCAAAAUAAGACAUUUAAACAAGGAUAUGCAGUCGCUUGCCUAUUUUUUGAAAGGAAAUAUUAUAUAAACUAGUAGAAGGAGAUAUGCUAUGGCUGGAUAAUUCACAGAUGGUUGGUAAAUAAAGCUUACCCAGCACUCCUGGAGACUGGGGAAAAACAAAAAGUAAAAGAAGUAAGCAAAAAAGGAUUAUAAACAGUUACAGAUAUUUUGAUACUUCUUAGUUGUUCACUGCAUCUCUCCUGUUAGUUCCAUUGGGUACUGAAAUGACCCCAAAAUAUGCAAUGAAAAUGAAAUGGCUUUUGUUAUGAAACUUUACAUCGCCAACUUGGAAGACUUUAAGAUAUAAAUUAAAAAAUAUUGGUGUUUGUAAUUAUUUACAAGCACCGGCUUUCCCUUUUCCAUGACUAUAUUCUUUUCUACUUUGCGCCUUGCAACGCUUCUUACACCUGCCCUAUAAAAGUUUUUUUUUAUUAAUGAAAUAUUUUCUCUCUAAGUGACUGUAACACACUGUGGAAUAACAUAGCAGUUAAGAGUAUGUCGUUAAAAGUGCUUGAAUAUGUUACCAUAAUAUUAGACCGACUCAAAUUAUUUGCCCUCUAACUUCCUUUGAAAGAAAAGUUCCCUAGGAAUCCUUAAUAGUAAAACCGUUUUCUUUUUAUUUUUACAUGUUUAUUCAGAGAACUCUCAAUGUGUUUUCGCAUUGUUUGCUUUCGUAUUUCCUCUGUGCUGAAAAUGCGAACACUGCCUACUAUACUGUAUAGUCCUAGAAAUCAAUACUUAAUACAUUCUUUAAAUUUUGGAGAUGGAUCAAGUACCAUGGUAUAGAUGAUGUUUACAUAAUUUGGAUAAAAAUUACAACUUACUUUACUACUUAUGAUUCCUUCAAAUAAAGCUUGUUUAAAACAACGUUCCUCAAUUCAAUUUUUAGCUAUAUAAGUGU
rnacentral:lncRNA from 1 species